GACGAACGCUGGCGGCGUGCCUAAUACAUGCAAGUAGAACGCUGAAGAGAGGAGCUUGCUCUUCUUGGAUGAGUUGCGAACGGGUGAGUAACGCGUAGGUAACCUGCCUGGUAGCGGGGGAUAACUAUUGGAAACGAUAGCUAAUACCGCAUAAUAGUAGAUGUUGCAUGACAUUUGCUUAAAAGGUGCAAUUGCAUCACUACCAGAUGGACCUGCGUUGUAUUAGCUAGUUGGUGAGGUAACGGCUCACCAAGGCAACGAUACAUAGCCGACCUGAGAGGGUGAUCGGCCACACUGGGACUGAGACACGGCCCAGACUCCUACGGGAGGCAGCAGUAGGGAAUCUUCGGCAAUGGACGGAAGUCUGACCGAGCAACGCCGCGUGAGUGAAGAAGGUUUUCGGAUCGUAAAGCUCUGUUGUAAGAGAAGAACGAGUGUGAGAGNGGAAAGUUCACACNGNGACG
rnacentral:rRNA from 1 species